GUAACGCGUGAGAACAUGCCUAUUGAUUGGGGACAACAGUUGGAAACGACUGCUAAUACCGAAUGUGCCGAAAGGUGAAAGAUUUAUCGUCAAUAGAUUGGCUCGCGUCAGAUUAGGUAGUAGGUGAGGUAAAGGCUCACCUAGCCUGCGAUCUGUACUUGGUCUGAGAGGAUGGCCAGGCACACUGGAACUGAGACACGGUCCAGACUCCUACGGGAGGCAGCAGUGGGGAAUUUCCGCAAUGGGCGAAAGCCUGACGGAGCAAUACCGCGUGAGGGAGGACGGCUUUUGGGUUGUAAACCUCUUUUAUCAGGGAAGAAUCGAUGACGGUACCUGAUGAAUCACAUCGGCUAACUCCGUGCCAGCAGCCGCGGUAAUACGGAGGAUGCAAGCGUUAUCCGGAAUUAUUGGGCGUAAAGCGUCCGUAGGUGGCUUGUCAAGUCUGCUGUCAAAGCGUGCGGCUUAACCGCAUAAGGGCAGUGGAAACUGACGAGCUAGAGUGCGAUAGGGGUAACAGGAAUUCCCAGUGUAGCGGUGAAAUGCGUAGAUAUUGGGAAGAACACCAGCGGCGAAAGCGUGUUACUGGGUCUGCACUGACACUGAGGGACGAAAGCUAGGGGAGCGAAAGGGAUUAGAUACCCCUGUUCUCACGCGUAUC
rnacentral:rRNA from 1 species